rnacentral:lncRNA from 1 species
CCAUGGCAUUCACAUUCUUCUGCCUGAGGCAAUCACUUCACAAUGGUGGGGCCAAACCUGUGUGUACCCCUGCUUUCCUCACACUUCUAAGGAACGGAAGCAUACCCUGUAGAAGUUAGUCAGAGCAACUGUGUGGUUUGUGUCAGCUUUACACACUUUUGAGGGGGGGAAUUGCAUGUCUAUACUGCACCUGAGGCAUAUUGUGGAAUAACCAGAACAUAACCUGAGGGAGACUCUCAGAAAGUAGAAGAACAAUUAGGAAUACAGAAAACCUCCUGCUGAGAGCCUAUUAUCAGAAAUUGUCUGCACCAGAUGAGAAUAAUUGUUUUGCGAUGUUCGCAAAUUGUUGCGCUUGAACGAAAAGUAACAUUCUCAUACACCAGUCCCACAAACCCAAGCAGAUGAAAGAGUCUGUUGAUUUCAAGUCUGAUGCAAGGUUAGGACUCACUACAGGAAUGAUGGGGAAGGAAAUACCAGAAGACUUUUCAAAAAAAAAGAGGGAGAAGAGUUUACAUGCAGUCAAAUUUAAGCAUUAAUCUAUAGUCUCUGUCAUUUAGAUGAUUUCUGUGUUUCAUCACUAUGUAUAAGAUUCUAUUGUUAUAUUUUGUGGCAACCUGUAAUAUAUCCCUCCCUCUGCAGAUGAAAUGCUCUUUUCUCAAAUGGGGAGUAUAUAUUUAAAAUAAAUAUAGUAAACUAAAUCA